GAUGAACGCUGGCGGCGUGCCUAAUACAUGCAAGUCGAGCGAAUGGAUUAAGAGCUUGCUCUUAUGAAGUUAGCGGCGGACGGGUGAGUAACACGUGGGUAACCUGCCCAUAAGACUGGGAUAACUCCGGGAAACCGGGGCUAAUACCGGAUAACAUUUUGAACCGCAUGGUUCGAAAUUGAAAGGCGGCUUCGGCUGUCACUUAUGGAUGGACCCGCGUCGCAUUAGCUAGUUGGUGAGGUAACGGCUCACCAAGGCAACGAUGCGUAGCCGAGCUGGGAGGGUGAUCGGCCACACGGGGACUGAGACACGGCCCAGACUCCUACGGGAGGCAGCAGUAGGGAAUCUUCCGCAAUGGACGAAAGUCUGACGGAGCAACGCCGCGUGAGUGACGAAGGCUUUCGGGUCGUAAAACUCUGUUGUUAGGGAAGAACAAGUGCUAGUUGAAUAAGCUGGCACCUUGACGGUACCUAACCAGAAAGCCACGGCUAACUACGUGCCAGCAGCCGCAGUAA
rnacentral:rRNA from 1 species